rnacentral:rRNA from 1 species
GAUGGAUAGGGGUUCUGAGAGGAAGGUCCCCCACAUUGGUACUGAGACACGGACCAAACUCCUACGGGAGGCAGCAGUGAGGAAUAUUGGUCAAUGGCCGAGAGGCUGAACCAGCCAAGUCGCGUGAAGGAAGAAGGAUCUAUGGUUUGUAAACUUCUUUUAUAGGGGAAUAAAGUGGAGGACGUGUCCUUUUUUGUAUGUACCCUAUGAAUAAGCAUCGGCUAACUCCGUGCCAGCAGCCGCGGUAAUACGGAGGAUGCGAGCGUUAUCCGGAUUUAUUGGGUUUAAAGGGUGCGUAGGUGGUGAUUUAAGUCAGCGGUGAAAGUUUGUGGCUCAACCAUAAAAUUGCCGUUGAAACUGGGUUACUUGAGUGUGUUUGAGGUAGGCGGAAUGCGUGGUGUAGCGGUGAAAUGCAUAGAUAUCACGCAGAAC